AUCCGUUAUGUUCUUCUAGAAUGGACUGAGGGUGAGGACGGAGGGGCGCAUAGUAUUUUGCCCAUCGACUGUGUCCGAAAUUUUUCAUUUAAAGAAUUUCUUAUGAGGACCGAAAAAACGGAGAAGCUGGUGGAAUGGCGAAAAGGCCGCCAACCGUGGCCGGUGCACCGAGCCAGAAUUGUUGAAGUGGCAAAAUUUGAAAAAACUCUCAAAAUUAAACUGCGUGAGAUCGAGAUGGAGAAAGAAGACACACAAGGGCAAACAAAACGUCCUCACAUCCCAAAUUCUAAGUACAGUGAGCAGCAGGGGCUAACUGAGAAGGCUUCAAAGGAAAAGGUUGACAAUCAAAAGGGAGGGGCUUCCAAAUCCAAGCACCAGGUGGGUGAGAAGCAGG